rfam:Felis catus isolate Cinnamon breed Abyssinian chromosome B1, whole genome shotgun sequence.
GCCUGGGUGGCUCAGUCGGUUAAGCGUCCGACUUCGGCUCAGGUCACGAUCUCGCGGUCCGUGGGUUCGAGCCCCGCGUCGGGCU